rnacentral:rRNA from 1 species
GUGAGUAUAUUAUGCUGGAACUAUCGUGGUGCAGGCACGUCGGCUAUAGUUUGGGAGCUUCAUGACCUAGCGAAGCAAUAUGCCCCAAUGAUGCUAUGUAUUGUAGAGACACAAAUUUCAAAAGCACGUGUCAAAGGUUUAGCAAAUACUCUUGGUUUUAAUCAUAUUUAUUAUGUUGGUAGUUCUGGUCGAAGUGGUGCACUACUGCAGGAUGCUGCUAACGCGACACUACAAUCAGAGACCCUUUAA